UACAGCGUGUGUGUUCUGCCGGACACUGGCACAUGGUUAAUUGAUUAGUGGAAGUGGUGUGGAAACGCCUGCCGUAGAAGGUGAUAGUCCUGUACGCGAAGAUCAGUUGGUGUGUGUGGUUGUUUUUCCCAAGUAGCAGCGGGCUCGUGGAAUCUGCUGUGAAUCUGCCGGGACCACCCGGUAAGCCUGAAUACUUGAUAUGACCGAUAGCGGAUUAGUACCGUGAGGGAAUGGUGAAAAGUACCCCGGGAGGGGAGUGAAAUAGUACCUGAAACCGUGUGCUUACAAUCCGUCAGAGCCUCACUUGUGGGGUGAUGGCGUGCCUUUUGAAGAAUGAGCCUGCGAGUCAGCGGCAUGUCGCGAGGUUAACCCGUGUGGGGUAGCCGUAGGGAAACCGAAUCCUAAUAGGGUGUGUUAGUGGCAUGUCUUGGACCCGAAGCGGAGUGAUCUACCCAUGGCCAGUGUGAAGCAGAGGUAAGACUUUGUGGAGGCGCGAACCCACUUAGGUUGAAAACUGAGGGGAUGAGUUGUGGGUAGGGGUGAAAGGCCAAUCAAACUCCGUGAUAGCUGGUUCUCCCCGAAAUGCAUUUAGGUGCAGCGUUGUGUGUUUCUUGCCGGAGGUAGAGCUACUGGAUGGUUUAGCGGGACCAACAUCUUAGCGACAUCAGCCAAACUCCGAAUGCCGGUAAGUCAGAGCACAGCAGUGAGACUGCGGGGGAUAAGCUUCGUAGUCGAGAGGGAAACAGCCCAGAUCGCCGGCUAAGGCCCCUAAGGGUGUGCUAAGUGGAAAAGGAGGUGGGGUCGCGAAGACAGCCAGGAGGUUGGCUUAGAAGCAGCCAUCCUUGAAAGAGUGCGUAAUAGCUCACUGGUCGAGUGAUUCCGCGCCGACAAUGUAGUGGGGCUUAAGCACACCGCCGAAGCCGCGGCAAUGAUACUUUAUUGUGUUGUUGGGUAGGGGAGCGUCGUGCACGCGUUGAAGCAGCCUGGUAAUGGUGUUGUGGAGUGUGUGCGAGUGAGAAUGCAGGCAUGAGUAACGAAUGAUGAGUGAGAAACUCAUCCGCCGGAUGACUAAGGGUUCCUGGGUCAAGUUAAUCUUCCCAGGGUGAGUCGGGGCCUAAGGCGAGGCCGACAGGCGUAGUCGAUGGAUAACGGGUUGAUAUUCCCGUACCCGAGUGUGUGCGACCAUGGUGAAUCAGUGAUACUAACCACCCGAAUGCUUCCAUGUGUCAUCUUUGAUGAUGUGUGGUUGUGGUUUGCGUGGGACCUGAUCUGGUAGUAGCUAAGUGAUGGGGUGACGCAGUGAGGUAGCUAAGCCACUUAUUGGAUUGUGGUGUAAGCGUGUAGCACUGUUGGUAGGUAAAUCCGCCAACUAUUAAUGUGUGAGGCGUGAUGCAGAGCCCUUUUGGGGUGAAGUUGGUGAUCCUGUACUGUCGAGAAAAGCCUCUAGCGAUGUACAUAUUCGGCCCGUACCCUAAACCGACACAGGUAGUCAGGUAGAGAAUACUAAGGCGUUCGGGUGAACUGUGGUUAAGGAACUCGGCAAAAUGCCCCCGUAACUUCGGGAGAAGGGGGGCCAUCAUAGGUGAACACCUUUGCGGUGGGAGCGUGUGGUGGUCGCAGAGAAUAGAGGGAAGCGACUGUUUACUAAAAACACAGGUCCGUGCGAAGACGUUUAAGUUGAUGUAUACGGACUGACGCCUGCCCGGUGCUGGAAGGUUAAGAGGACCGGUUAGCUGUUAAAGGCGAAGCUGAGAAUUUAAGCCCCAGUAAACGGCGGUGGUAACUAUAACCAUCCUAAGGUAGCGAAAUUCCUUGUCGGGUAAGUUCCGACCUGCACGAAUGGCGUAACGACUUCCCUGCUGUCUCAACCACAGGCCCGGUGAAAUUGCAGUACGAGUAAAGAUGCUCGUUACGCGCGGCAGGACGAAAAGACCCCGGGACCUUCACUAUAGCUUGGUAUUGGUGUUUGAUUCGGUUUGUGUAGGAUAGGUGGGAGACUUCGAUCAUAUGACGCUAGUUGUGUGUGAGUCGUUGGUGAAAUACCACUCUGAUCGGAUUGAAUGUCUUAACCUUGGCCCAUGAUCUGGGUUGGGGACAGUGCCUGGUGGGUAGUUUAACUGGGGCGGUUGCCUCCCAAAAUGUAACGGAGGCGCCCAAAGGUUUCCUCAGCUUGGUUGGUAAUCAGGUGGUGAGUGUAAGUGCACAAGGGAGCUUGACUGUGAGAGUGACAACUCGAGCAGGGACGAAAGUCGGGACUAGUGAUCCGGCACCAACUUGUGGUUGUGGUGUCGCUCAACGGAUAAAAGGUACCCCGGGGAUAACAGGCUGAUCUUCCCCAAGAGUCCAUAUCGACGGGAUGGUUUGGCACCUCGAUGUCGGCUCGUCGCAUCCUGGGGCUGG
rnacentral:rRNA from 1 species